rnacentral:rRNA from 1 species
UACGUAGGUGGCAAGCGUUAUCCGGAAUUAUUGGGCGUAAAGCGCGCGCAGGCGGUCCUUUAAGUCUGAUGUGAAAGCCCACGGCUCAACCGUGGAGGGUCAUUGGAAACUGGGGGACUUGAGUGCAGAAGAGGAGAGCGGAAUUCCACGUGUAGCGGUGAAAUGCGUAGAGAUGUGGAGGAACACCAGUGGCGAAGGCGGGACUCUGGGCCGAUACUGACGCUGAGGAGCGAAAGCGUGGGGAGCAAACAGG